rnacentral:rRNA from 1 species
UGGUUCACGUCAUCUGCAAGGCAUUACCUCCUUGCAUUAUUCUCCCCCAGGAAAAGGACUUUACAACCUUCCGGCAUUCUUCGUCCACCCGGCGUCGCUCCGUCAGGGUUUCCCCCAUUGCGGAAGAUUCUUA